UACGGAAGCCCAUAGCGUUGUUCGGAUUUACUGGGCGUAAAGGGCGCGUAGGCGGCAGGGCGUGUCAAGUGUGAAAUCUCCGGGCCCAACCCGGAAAGUGCGCUUGAAACUACCCUGCUCGAGGCCGGGAGAGGGAAUCGGAAUACAGGGUGUAGCGGUGAAAUGCGUUGAUAUCCUGUAAAACACCGGAGGCGAAGGCAGAUUCCUGGGACGGUUCUGACGCUGAGGCGCGAAAGUCGGGGGAGCAAAC
rnacentral:rRNA from 1 species